UCCGCAGGUCAGAUCUCAGCCACCCAAAG
rnacentral:piRNA from 1 species